CAGUAGCCACGGUAAUACGUAGGGCGCAAGCGUUGUCCGGAAUUAUUGGGCGUAAAGAGCUCGUAGGCGGUCUGUCGCGUCUGGUGUGAAAUCCCGAGGCUCAACCUCGGGCUUGCAUCGGGUACGGGCAGACUAGAGUGCGGUAGGGGAGACUGGAAUUCCUGGUGUAGCGGUGGAAUGCGCAGAUAUCAGGAGGAACACCGAUGGCGAAGGCAGGUCUCUGGGCCGCAACUGACGCUGAGGAGCGAAAGCAUGGGGAGCGAACAGGAUUAGAUACCCCAGUAGUCCCUGUCUCUUAUAC
rnacentral:rRNA from 1 species